rnacentral:rRNA from 1 species
UACGUAGGGGCCGAGCGUUGUCCGGAGUUAUUGGGCGUAAAGCGCGCGCAGGCGGCUUGGCGCGCCCGACGUGAAAGCCCCCGGCUUAACCGGGGAGAGUCGUCGGGGACGGCCGGGCUUGAGGGCGGGAGAGGGUGGUGGAAUUCCCGGUGUAGUGGUGAAAUGCGUGGAGAUCGGGAGGAACACCUGUGGCGAAGGCGGCCACCUGGGCCGACCCUGACGCUGAGGCGCGAAGGCGUGGGGAGCGAACGGG